UACAGAGGGGGCAAGCGUUAUUCGGAAUUAUUGGGCGUAAAGGGCGCGUAGGCGGCCUGGCAAGUGGAUGGUGAAAUCCCUCGGCUUAACCGAGGAACUGCCAUCCAGACUGCUUGGCUUGAGACCGGGAGAGGUGAGUGGAAUUCCCAGUGUAGCGGUGAAAUGCGCAGAUAUCAGGAGGAACACCGAUGGCGAAGGCAGGUCUCUGGGCCACUACUGACGCUGAGAAGCGAAAGCAUGGGGAGCGAACAGG
rnacentral:rRNA from 1 species